rnacentral:rRNA from 1 species
GGGGAAUAUUGGACAAUGGGGGGAACCCUGAUCCAGCCAUGCCGCGUGUGUGAAGAAGGCCUUAUGGUUGUAAAGCACUUUAAGCGAGGAGGAGGAGCUCUUGGUUAAUACCCAAGAUGCUUGGACGUUACUCGCAGAAUAAGCACCGGCUAACUCUGUGCCAGCAGCCGCGGUAAUACAGAGGGUGCGAGCGUUAAUCGGAUUUACUGGGCGUAAAGCGUACGUAGGCGGCUUUUUAAGUCGGAUGUGAAAUCCCUGAGCUUAACUUAGGAAUUGCAUUCGAUACUGGGGAGCUAGAGUAUGGGAGAGGAUGGUAGAAUUCCAGGUGUAGCGGUGAAAUGCGUAGAGAUCUGGAGGAAUACCGAUGGCGAAGGCAGCCAUCUGGCCUAAUACUGACGCUGAGGUACGAAAGCAUGGGGAGCAAAC